AUUGAACGCUGGCGGCAGGCUUAACACAUGCAAGUCGAGCGGGGGAAGGUAGCUUGCUACUGGACCUAGCGGCGGACGGGUGAGUAAUGCUUAGGAAUCUGCCUAUUAGUGGGGGACAACAUCUCGAAAGGGAUGCUAAUACCGCAUACGUCCUACGGGAGAAAGCAGGGGAUCUUCGGACCUUGCGCUAAUAGAUGAGCCUAAGUCGGAUUAGCUAGUUGGUGGGGUAAAGGCCUACCAAGGCGACGAUCUGUAGCGGGUCUGAGAGGAUGAUCCGCCACACUGGGACUGAGACACGGCCCAGACUCCUACGGGAGGCAGCAGUGGGGAAUAUUGGACAAUGGGGGGAACCCUGAUCCAGCCAUGCCGCGUGUGUGAAGAAGGCCUUAUGGUUGUAAAGCACUUUAAGCGAGGAGGAGGCUACUUUAGUUAAUACCUAGAGAUAGUGGACGUUACUCGCAGAAUAAGCACCGGCUAACUCUGUGCCAGCAGCCGCGGUAAUACAGAGGGUGCGAGCGUUAAUCGGAUUUACUGGGCGUAAAGCGUGCGUAGGCGGCUUAUUAAGUCGGAUGUGAAAUCCCCGAGCUUAACUUGGGAAUUGCAUUCGAUACUGGUGAGCUAGAGUAUGGGAGAGGAUGGUAGAAUUCCAGGUGUAGCGGUGAAAUGCGUAGAGAUCUGGAGGAAUACCGAUGGC
rnacentral:rRNA from 1 species